rnacentral:rRNA from 1 species
GGAAAAGAAACUAACAAGGAUUCCCCUAGUAACGGCGAGUGAAGUGGGAAAAGCUCAACUUUGUAAUCUGGCAGCUUCGCUGUCCGAGUUGUAGUCUCGAGAAAUGUUUUCCGCGCUGGCAUGUGUAUGAGUCUGUUGGAAUACAGCGUCAUAGAGGGUGAGAACCCCGUUCAUGACACAUCUCCCAGUGCUUUGUGAUACAUUUUCGAUGAGUCGAGUUGUUUGGGAAUGCAGCUCAAAAUGGGUGGUAAAUUCCAUCUAAAGCUAAAUAUUGGCGAGAGACCGAUUGCAAACAAGUACCGUGAGGGAAAGAUGAAAAGCACUUUGGAAAGAGAGUUAAAAGUACGUGAAAUUGUUGAAAGGGAAACGCUUGAAGUCAGACGUGCGCAGUGCGAUUCAGCUCUAUUUCGGUAGAGUGUAUUUCGUGCUAUUGCAGGCCAGCAUCGGUUUUGCGAGCCGGAUAAAGGUUAGUAGAAGGUAGCAUCUUCGGAUGUGUUAUAGCUUCUAACUGAAUACGGAUUCCGAGACCGAGGGACGCAGCACGGCGCAAGCCAGAAGAUUCGUCUUCUUCGUGCUUAGGAUGCUGGUGAAAUGGCUUUAAACGACCCGUCU